AUUGAACGCUGGCGGCAGGCCUAACACAUGCAAGUCGAACGGAGUGGCGGACGGGUGAGUAAUGUCUGGGAAACCGCCUGAUGGAGGGGGAUCACCACUGGAAACGGGCGCUAAUACCGCAUACUCUCAGAUGAGCCUAUGUCGGAUUAGCUAGUUGGCGGGGGAAAGGCCUACAAAGGCGACGAUCCGUAACUGGUCUGAGAGGAUGAUCAGUCACACUGGAACUGAGACACGGUCCAGACUCCUACGGGAGGCAGCAGUGGGGAAUAUUGGACAAUGGGCGAAAGCCUUAUCCAGCCAUGCCGCGUGUGUGAAGAAGGUCUUCGGAUUGUAAAGCACUUUAAGUUGGGAGGCGUUACCAACAGAAUAAGCACCGGCUAACUCCGUGCCAGCAGCCGCGGUAAUAC
rnacentral:rRNA from 1 species